rnacentral:rRNA from 1 species
AACGAACGCUGGCGGCAUGCCUAGCACAUGCAAGUCGAACGAGACCUUCGGGUCUAGUGGCGCACGGGUGCGUAACGCGUGGGAACCUGCCCUUAGGUUCGGAAUAACUCCCCGAAAGGGGUGCUAAUACCGGAUAAUGUCUUCGGACCAAAGAUUUAUCGCCUUUGGAUGGGCCCGCGUUGGAUUAGCUAGUUGGUAGGGUAAAAGCCUACCAAGGCGACGAUCCAUAGCUGGUCUGAGAGGAUGAUCAGCCACACUGGGACUGAGACACGGCCCAGACUCCUACGGGAGGCAGCAGUGGGGAAUAUUGGACAAUGGGCGAAAGCCUGAUCCAGCAAUGCCGCGUGAGUGAUGAAGGCCUUAGGGUUGUAAAGCUCUUUUACCCGGGAUGAUAAUGACAGUACCGGGAGAAUAAGCUCCGGCUAACUCCG